GGGAUUGUGGCAUCAGGGAGAUUGGCGGGGAACUCUCUGGCAAGGAUGGGGAGUGUCUGCCAUAGUGAUUGGGGAUGCAACAACCAAGGAGAAGGAGCAAGCCGUGCACCCCAGUCUUGCUUUGAGGAAGGGAUGAAGGACAGGGAACAUUCCAGAAGGGAACUAAGGACAUACAAGGAGAUUGACAGUUUUCUGGAGAGUAGAAGCUUGGAUGGCAUUUCCGAUGACAUUUCUUCAAGCACCUUUGGAGAAGCAGCCCAAUAGCUCAUUUCAGAUUUCUUCAUGGAUCAUCACUAGCCACAUGUUAAUCUGAAGGAGAGCUCAGAGGGAGUAAUUUCACAACACAACUCUUAAGUUAACCCCCUCUUGUCAUUCCUAAUACCACCACUGAUCAUCUGUUAUUGGCUAGAUCAUG